CGACCGGGUGAGUAACACGUGACUAACCUACCCUUGAAUGGGGAAUAACCUUCCGAAAGGAGGGCUAAUACCGCAUAACGUCCUGAGGCUGAGAUGCCAUUGGACCAAAGGAGCAAUUCGUUUAAGGAGGGGUCGCGGUUGAUUAGCUAGUUGGUGGGGUAAUGGCCCACCAAGGCGAUGAUCAAUAGCCGGCCUGAGAGGGCGCACGGCCACACUGGAACUGAAACACGGUCCAG
rnacentral:rRNA from 1 species